CCGGGAGAUCAUGACCUGAGCCGAAGUCAGAUGCUUAACCGACUGAGCCACCCAGGCGCCCCCGUAAUUUGCAUUUGAUUGCCUCAAAAUCUUCAGUUUGUUGUUCUGGUGUCUUAAUUAACUGAUUAUUUAACUGAAUAACAACUAGGGAAGUAGAUCAUAAAUGUGAGGACUUUCCUUGUAAGAAGCUCACAGCUCUUUUUUUCCAUGAUGUGUCCUUUCUAGCACCAUCCUCUUGGCCUGUGAAGCCGACCUGCCUCUCUGCACUGGACACAUGCUUGAGCUCUCGCCACACACUUGUUCAUGGGCGCUGCAAGAGGAGGGACCCACAGAGCUGGAGCCGGGAGGGCUGGCACAUUGGACUGAGGGCUGGCAGAACUCUUAGGGGGAUCUUGCCAUCCCGCAGCCCCAUGUCUGGCUCCAGGAGAAUUCUGUUAGUGAAGUGAUUGCACUUAAAACCCAAAAUUAACUUGAACUGAAUGUUACUGAAAAUGAAAGAGGUUAAAGUGCCCCGCUCCUGCUUCAUCCGCAGUCAUUAUGAAGGAGAUCCACGGUCUGACCUAGCUUUGGGAGAGCGGGUCUGUAGCCACAUGCCCCCUGGUCACAGAGGUCUCCGUGAUCAUCCUCCUGCCCAGAUGCCACUCUCGAUCCCCUUCACAAGUUUCUCUUUUUAUAAGAGCACUCACCUCCAGGGCAGUGAUACAGUUACGUGUUGGUCACUGUCUUGUCUCCUACGAGAAUGGAAGCUCCACGAGGGCAGGACCUCCAUCCUGUUCAUCCUCGUGUUUCCAGGGCCUGGCACCGUGUACAGUCUAAAUAAAUGCUGCUGAGUGAAUGAAUGGAUCAACUGGCAUUGCAUCCUUUCUGAAUGUUUCCUUUUAAUUUGUCUUUUUACAUAUAACUUUUAAAAACGAUAAACAGUGAAACUUGGUAAAUAUAAAAAAUUUGUUGUGAUUGCAGUGAGUGGCACAGCAUGUUUAUGAGAUGCCAGAGAGAAUCAGGACUUUAGAAUUAGGAAUUACACAUUCAUUCUCUGUUCCGGUAUCCAUGCCUCCUGAUGAAGACGUAGAGGAUAGAGAUGUAGGAGAGACGUGAGCCACAUCUCUGGAAUACAGUCACACCUCAGAGAUCUUGCAGUUCUGGUUCCAGAUCAUUGCAAUAAAAUGAGUAUCACAACAAAGCGGGUCCAAUGAAUGUUUCUGUUUCUGGUGCACAUAAAAGUUAAGUUUAUACUGUGGUCUCCUAAAUGCAUAAUAGCCUUGUGUCAAAAAAAAAAUGUACGUGUCUUAAUUAAAGAAUACUGCUGAAAAAUGCUAA